GUGUUCCGCCUGGGGAGUACGGUCGCAAGAUUAAAACUCAAAGGAAUAGACGGGGACCCGCACAAGUGGCGGAGCAUGUGGUUUAAUUCGAAGAUACGCGAAAAACCUUACCUGGCCUUGACAUUGAUAGAAUCCUGUAGAGAUACGGGAGUGCCCUUCGGGGAGCUUGAAAACAGGUGCUGCACGGCUGUCGUCAGCUCGUGUCGUGAGAUGUUGGGUUAAGUCCCGCAACGAGCGCAACCCUCGUCCUUAGUUGCCAGCACUUUAAGGUGGGCACUCUAAGGAGACUGCCUUCGCAAGGAGGAGGAAGGUGAGGACGACGUCAAGUCAUCAUGGCCCUUACGGCCAGGGCUACACACGUGCUACAAUGGGGCGUACAGAGAGUUGCAAUACCGCGAGGUGGAGCCAAUCUCAUAAAGCGUCUCUCAGUUCGGAUUGUUCUCUGCAACUCGAGAGCAUGAAGCUGGAAUCACUAGUAAUCGUAGAUCAGCAUUGCUACGGUGAAUACGUUCCCGGGUCUUGUACACACCGCCCGU
rnacentral:rRNA from 1 species